AUGUCUCGCUCCAAGGCCGACCCAUCCGACGCCGGUUCCUUCGCCGGUGCCAUGUUCACCUCCGACCGCCUCAACGAGCUUUACAUCAAAGACCAUGUACCCGUCGUCCCCGACCUCGACUCGCCAUCGUACAACGCGUGGCGCACGUACUUCACGCUGCUGUUCCGCUCUUACCGUCUCAUCGAGCAUGUUGACGGGAGCGUCGACUUUCGCGACAUGAAGGACGAUGACGAGUGGCUGGCUGUGGACGCCUGCAUCGUCAAGUGGUUCUUCUUCACCAUCUCCGGCAGCCUCUUCAACAUGGUGAACUCCCGCGACCCGUCGGCGUACGCUAUGUGGACGCGGCUGUGUGACCUCUUCCUCGACAAUCAACUCCAACGCCGCGUCUUCCUUCAAGGGGAGUUCUUCACUAUGCAGCAAAACGAUCUUUCGAUCGAUGAGUACUGCACGUGGCUGAAGGUCCUCGCCGACGAGCUACGCCACGUCGGCAUGAACAUCGACGACUUCGUCCUCCUCACCAACCUCCUUCGGGGCCUCCACCCCGACCUCGGCCAGUCCGCCGCCAACCUCUCCCUCAUCACGCCGACGUACGCUAAGGCGGUCACUUACCUUCGCAUGGAGGAGAAGCGACUUCGUCACUCCACUCGGCAGGCGACCCACGCCGCGCUCCACGUCGGCCUCGCCGCCGGCACCGGCGCGCCUCCUGCCCCGACUACGCCACGUGCUCCUACUCCGACCCCGCCUCCCGCGCCCGCCCCCUCCGGUGGCCGCAAGCAGAAGGGCCGCGGGGGUCGAGCCUGCAACUCCAACGCCGUGCAGCGCCCGCCCGCGAACACCGCAGUCGCUCCUCCUCCACCGUGGUUGUCGGGGUACAAUCCCUGGACGGGUGUUGUACAUGCGUACUCCAUGCCCGUCCCUCGCCCUCCUGCUCCAGGCAUCCUCGGUCCGCGGCCGGCCUCUCAUCAGGCACUGCUGACCACGCCUGCCCACGGACCCGCGGCAUAUGGUGGUGCUACGCCCUAUGGCGGUUCGGCGGCAUAUGGUGGCCCCCCAGCUUAUGGCGCGUAUGGCGGAACCCACGGCGGUGUCUGGGAUCCCGCCCUCCUCUCCGCUCUUCAUGUCGCGCCCUCGCCGAGCAACUACAGCGGAGGUGGCGAUUGGUAUAUGGACACCGGCACUGCCGCUCACAUGGCUUCCAACCCCGGAUGCUCGCUCCCGGAGGGUUCUGCACCGAUGUGA
rnacentral:rRNA from 1 species